GGCAGCACAAGAGGCCGUGGCUGAACAGGUGAAGUCAGGCAGCAGCCCAGCUAAAGUUCUGGGCACUGAGUCCAUUUGCAGCAUAGCCACGGACUCUGCAGAUUGGGGUUUAGGGAGCUGGAUGCGGCCAUAAAGGAGGGGGGCUGGCAAGAGUGAGGCUGAGGGUCAGAAGCACAGCUGGGAAGAGUGGGGUUUGGUGCAGAGUUUUAGGCCAGGAAGGAGCUAGACUGUGGCAGGGGGUUUCAGGUCCAUGAGAGUGGGGAGCAUGACAGGUCAUGGAGACCUGUGGUCCCCUGAGCCGAGGUCACACAAUGACCACCAUGUGAGGCUUUAGUCACGCAGUCCUCUUUCCUAAUUUGUGGAGGCUCCUGUAAGGGAAUUGCUACUGAAGCAAAAGAAUGAUCAGAGCGACACAGAUAAACAUCCACUCCUGGGGCCUCGAGGAGCUGAGCUGGGCUGGCUCUGAGAGGGCCCAGCUCCUUAGGGGCCAUCAGGAAUCCAUAUCGGGUCUUGACGUCCAGGAAAGUGAAGGGAAUGGAGAAGGCUUUUGCACUUGAACAUCUUGCUCACAGAUAACAGGGCCAAAGGGACAUUUGCAAGCUCUGAAGCCUGGUGCGCUUCAGUUACUCUCUGCUAGAGGAACACCACGGGCUUAGCUUAGUGGAAGGCAGUCUCAGGCCAGACAGGAGGGAACAGGACUCCCCCCACACCGUCUGGGCUGCCGCCCCACCGAGACUGCCAGGCCUGCUCCCCAGGGUAGCCGAGGACUCAGGGGUCAGAAGACCCACUGCCAAGUUCAAACAACCGUGCUCUUCUUCCCUGACACACCACACGAUAAAUCCAUCUUGGAACCGAGAGUCACUUGUUCCCCUCCGACUCCCUUUCUCCUGAGUCCACAGAAGCCACAUGCUGGGAUGAAAUUAGCUCAGCUCUGGGCUCUGAUAGGUCAAACGAGCUGUCCGUUAUAUUCCAAAUUGCCUCAGGUUGUUUCAACAGAGCUCAUCACAAUGGGACAUAGAACACUUACCUGAGCAACACCAGGGCAGGCAAGAGCUCCUACAGAAACUGAAGACAGAAGGAACUUGUGCAUGGUCUGCCUCCCACACAAAGACGUUGCACGUGUGGAUUAUUGGCCGUCCAGUAAAUGUACUUAAAGACGGAAGUUAUUUCCAUUGACUGGUUCGGUAUGAGCAGUUAGGUCCCAGUGACCUAAAAAUGUCCAAAUGGAAUACUCAGCGAACUCUCUGACCUCAUAUCUCAGUCUAACAGUUCUGCAUCUCUACGUGGAUCUCUCUUUAACCAAAUGCAGAUCCCUUUGAGACCGAAAGUGUCACAGGGAGCCCUACAGCCCUCUGUCCGCGUGUGAAACAUUACUCAGUAUCAAAUUGAAAAGAAUCAACUUGGUUGCUUCA